rnacentral:rRNA from 1 species
UAGGGAAUCUUCCACAAUGGACGCAAGUCUGAUGGAGCAACGCCGCGUGAGUGAAGAAGGUUUUCGGAUCGUAAAGCUCUGUUGUUGGUGAAGAAGGAUAGAGGCAGUAACUGGUCUUUAUUUGACGGUAAUCAACCAGAAAGUCACGGCUAACUACGUGCCAGCAGCCGCGGUAAUACGUAGGUGGCAAGCGUUGUCCGGAUUUAUUGGGCGUAAAGCGAGCGCAGGCGGAAUGAUAAGUCUGAUGUGAAAGCCCACGGCUCAACCGUGGAACUGCAUCGGAAACUGUCAUUCUUGAGUGCAGAAGAGGAGAGUGGAACUCCAUGUGUAGCGGUGGAAUGCGUAGAUAUAUGGAAGAACACCAGUGGCGAAGGCGGCUCUCUGGUCUGCAACUGACGCUGAGGCUCGAAAGCAUGGGUAGCGAACAGGAUUAGAUACCCUGGUAGUCCAUGCCGUAAACGAUGAGCGCUAGGUGUUGGGGCACUUU